ensembl:snoRNA
ACCCCCAUUUUAGUACCUUCCACUCACUGUUUAAUGAAUGGAGGGCUAUGCUAAUGGGGUAGAGAAACACUGUCGUGAUCUGAAGGUGUGGCUAGCUGCUUGUGCACCCCACCGAAUAAACUGACAGAACAAUUACAU